rnacentral:rRNA from 1 species
AUUGAACGCUGGCGGCAUGCCUUACACAUGCAAGUCGAACGGCAGCACGGGAGCAAUCCUGGUGGCGAGUGGCGAACGGGUGAGUAAUAUAUCGGAACGUGCCCAGUCGUGGGGAUAACGUAGCGAAAGCUACGCUAAUACCGCAUACGAUCUAUGGAUGAAAGCGGGGGAUCGCAAGACCUCGCGCGAUUGGAGCGGCCGAUAUCAGAUUAGGUAGUUGGUUGAGAUAAAGGACUCACCAAGCCGACGAUCUGUAGCUGGUCUGAGAGGACGACCAGCCACACUGGGACUGAGACA